ACUACGGGCGGCAGCAGUGAGGAAUAUUGGUCAAUGGGCGCGAGCCUGAACCAGCCAAGUCGCGUGAGGGAUGACUGCCCUACGGGUUGUAAACUUCUUUUGUCAAGGAAUAAAGUGGGGCACGUGUGCCUUUUUGUAUGUACUUUAUGAAUAAGGCUCGGCUAACUCCGUGCCAGCAGCCGCGGUAAUACGGAGGAUCCGAGCGUUAUCCGGAUUUAUUGGGUUUAACGGGAGCGUAGAUGGGAUGUUAAGUCAGGUGUGAAAGGUUGGGGCUCAACCGUAAAAUUGCAUUUGAAACUGGCAGUCUUGAGUACAGGUGAGGUAGGCGGAAUUCGUGGUGUAGCGGUGAAAUGCUUAGAUAUCACGAAGAACUCCGAUUGCGAAGGCAGCUUACUAA
rnacentral:rRNA from 1 species